rnacentral:lncRNA from 1 species
GAGAAUGUAUUAGAUCUUCUUCCACUUUUCCCUGUCUUAUCCAAGCCAAAAUGCAAAUCAGGUCAAAGUUUAAAGACCAUUAGACCUAAGAUCCCAAAACCUAAUACAAGACAUAAGCAAUCUUCAGUGGUUUCCCAUAUAAUAAGCAAAUAUAAUUUUCAGUGCAUUUCUUUUCGGACAAAUAGGGCUUGGUUCUUAAAAAAAUAAUAAUAAAUAAGGCUUGGUUCAUGAUCUCU